CGGGUGAGUAAUGUCUGGGAAACUGCCUGAUGGAGGGGGAUAACUACUGGAAGCGGUAGCUAAUACCGCAUAACGUCGCAAGACCAAAGAGGGGGACCUUAGGGCCUCUUGCCAUCGGAUGUGCCCAGAUGGGAUUAGCUAGUAGGUGGGGUAACGGCUCACCUAGGCGACGAUCCCUAGCUGGUCUGAGAGGAUGACCAGCCACACUGGAACUGAGACACGGUCCAG
rnacentral:rRNA from 1 species